rnacentral:lncRNA from 1 species
UCCUUCUUUAGUGCUUCAACUUUUUCUUAACAGUUUAUUUGUUCUGAACUAUUUGAUUAAUUUCAACAAGCGAUCAAUCUUUUUUUCUUUCUUAUGAGUCCCUAUUAGCAAGCCCCAUUAUAUGAUGAUGAUGAUGAUGCUGUUUCUUCUUAUGCUAAUUGUCCCAAGUAUUUGAUGGAAAACUUCUGAAAAGGUCGGUUUAUUGUUCUAUUCAGUUUUUUACUUUCGAAGUUACAAUUUGUUACAGAUUAUACAAGAGACAUGGUUAUCAAUCUUAUCGUAUAUCUCUGGAAAAAAGUUCAUAUCGUUUGAUUAUGUAAUCUGCCAUUGACUUGAUGAAGCAGGAGAAGAAAACAAACUCUGGUCAAGCGUACAUAUUCUACCAAAAAAUGGCUGACCAAAAGCAUUGAGAAGUAUAGAAGAAGAAGUAUACGAGAAGAGAAGUUCUUUGGCAAUUUUUUAGUUGUUUAGUAGUUAUUUUGUUGUCAGUUCAUCUUCUUUUCCUUUCAUGUUUUCUUCUGAAAUUUCUCUGUAUACUUCUUUUUCUUCGUCAUAUUUGUAAAUAGA